CCUACGGGUGGCUGCAGUGGGGAAUAUUGGACAAUGGGGGGAACCCUGAUCCAGCGACGCCGCGUGAGUGAAGAAGUCUUUCGGUAUGUAAAGCUCUAUCAGCAGGGAAGAAAGACAUGACGGUACCUGACUACUACGCCCCGGCUACCUACGUGCCCGCAGCCGCGGUAAUACGUAGGGGGCAAGCGUUAUCCGGAUUUACUGGGUGUAAAGGGAGCGUAGACGGCGAUGCAAGUCUGAAGUGAAAGGCGGGGGGCCAACCUCCGGACUGCUUUGGAAACUGGAUGGCUGGAGUGCAGGAGAGGUAGGUGGAAUUCGUGGUGUAGCGGUGAAAUGCGUAGAUAUUAGGAGGAACACCAGUGGCGAAGGCGGCUUGCUGGACUGUAACUGACGUUGAGGCUCGAAGGCGUGGGGAGCAAACAGGAUUAGAUACCCCUGUAGUC
rnacentral:rRNA from 1 species